AUUGAACGCUGGCGGCAGGCUUAACACAUGCAAGUCGAGCGGGGUGAUGGUGCUUGCACUAUCACUUAGCGGCGGACGGGUGAGUAAUGCUUAGGAAUCUGCCUAUUAGUGGGGGACAACAUCUCGAAAGGGAUGCUAAUACCGCAUACGUCCUACGGGAGAAAGCAGGGGAUCACUUGUGACCUUGCGCUAAUAUAUGAGCCUAAGUCGGAUUAGCUAGUUGGUGGGUAAAGGCCUACCAAGGCGACGAUCUGUAGCGGGUCUGAGAGGAUGAUCCGCCACACUGGGACUGAGACACGGCCCAGACUCCUACGGGAGGCAGCAGUGGGGAAUAUUGGACAAUGGGGGAACCCUGAUCCAGCCAUGCCGCGUGUGUGAAGAAGGCCUUAUGGUUGUAAAGCACUUUAAGCGAGGAGGAGGCUCUUUUGGUUAAUACCCAAGAUGAGUGGACGUUACUCGCAGAAUAAGCACCGGCUAACUCUGUGCCAGCAGCCGCCGUAA
rnacentral:rRNA from 1 species